UUUGUUACACGUUAUAAUAGAUAUCUAUUUAACACCGUGAUUUCAGGAGGAAAAUCGAACAUUAGUGGAGAGAUUAAUUAAAUAUAAAUCAAAAGAUGCCGAUAAAAUGAAUGAAGAAAAUGAGCAUUUUCUCAAGUCAAGCAACCCUACCGCGUUUUUCAUCAACACGUUUGGUAGAGUUAGUUUCGG
rnacentral:lncRNA from 1 species